rnacentral:rRNA from 1 species
UACCACAGACAUAUCACCCUGCAGCCCAAGACCGGUUACUCACUGAAGCUAAGCAGGGCUGAGCCUGGUCAAUACCUGGAUGGGAGACCACUAGGGAACACUAGGUUGCUGUUGGAA